UCCAUUGUUGAGGUAGCUACCGCGGGAGC
rnacentral:sRNA from 1 species